GCUGGGUGUGGUGACACACACCUGUAAUCCCAGCUACUCGGGAGGCUGAGGCAGGAGAAUUGCUUGAACCCAGGAGGCAGAGGUUGCAGUGAACCGAGAUUGCACCACUGCACUCUAGCCUGGGCAACAGAGCAAGACUCUGUCUCAA
rnacentral:SRP_RNA from 1 species